rnacentral:lncRNA from 1 species
UGAUUUCUUCCCAAUAAUAACUGAUUUUUGGUUAUCUUUUUCCUUUUUUGUUCUUUAAAUUGAAUGAGGAUGAUGCAACAUGGCUUCCAUUAUUCACUGGAAAACCGAAGAACCACUGGAACAGCUAGAAUCCAGAUCCGCUGGAAUUCCCAUGCCUCCAUGCUGCCUAUCUGGGACAACUGGUCUCUCAGGCUUCCAUCUCACUCCAUGACUCGGAAAUACUACACCACGUUGGAGAAUUUGAGUCUUGCAACUAAUCCAAGAAACUACAGUGUUCUGACCAUUAUCUUUAUUUGUAUGUUCCUGUCCUUAUUUUUUUUUAAAACACAAUGUUUUUUAUUAAAGAGGAUAAAAAUAUAACAAGUUAAAAAACAGGUUGGAAGCCUAUUCAACCCUGGGAGAGAGACAGUGAUUUUCAUCAAGUUUUCUCGACCCCACUGUGGAG